rnacentral:rRNA from 1 species
CAGCCGCCGCGGGAAUACGUAGGUGGCAAGCGUUGUCCGGAAUUAUUGGGCGUAAAGCGCGCGCAGGCGGAUCAGUCAGUCUGUCUUAAAAGUUCGGGGCUUAACCCCGUGAGGGGAUGGAAACUGCUGAUCUAGAGUAUCGGAGAGGAAAGUGGAAUUCCUAGUGUAGCGGUGAAAUGCGUAGAUAUUAGGAAGAACACCAGUGGCGAAGGCGACUUUCUGGACGAAAACUGACGCUGAGGCGCGAAAGCCAGGGGAGCGAACGGGAUUAGAGACCCCGGUAGUCCCUGUCUCUUAUACA